rnacentral:rRNA from 1 species
AUUGAACGCUGGCGGCAUGCCUUACACAUGCAAGUCGAACGGUAACAGGUCUUCGGAUGCUGACGAGUGGCGAACGGGUGAGUAAUACAUCGGAACGUGCCUAGUAGUGGGGGAUAACUACUCGAAAGAGUGGCUAAUACCGCAUGAGAUCUACGGAUGAAAGCAGGGGAUCGCAAGACCUUGUGCUACUAGAGCGGCCGAUGGCAGAUUAGGUAGUUGGUGGGUUAAAAGCUUACCAAGCCGACGAUCUGUAGCUGGUCUGAGAGGACGAUCAGCCACACUGGGACUGAGACACGGCCCAGACUCCGACGGGGGGCAGCAGUGGGGUAUUUUUGAAAAUGAGCGAAAGCCUGAUACAGCCAUGACACGUCCAGGAUGAAAGCCUACGGGUUGUAAACUGCUUUUGUACAGAACAAAAAGCCCCGGGUUUACACCCUGGGGUCAUGACGGGACCGUAAGAAUAAGAACCGGCUAACUACGUGCCAGCCGCCGCCGUAA